rnacentral:misc_RNA from 1 species
AAAUUUGAGAAUUUGUUUCUCUUCCUUUUUGAAAUUUUAUUUCUCUAAAGAAUUUGUUUUUCCUUCUUGAGAAUUCGUUUCUCUACCUUUUGUGUUCUACUUCGUUCUACAUCAACAUGCCCUUAGCAAAUCAUGCAAAACAAUGGAUACGUCAUCUCUCAUAGGUUUUACUCUUUAAUUACACUAUGCUUUUGUUUUCAACCUACCUUUCCUUUCUGCCAUCAUAGACAACUGAAUUAUCACUUUCAGUUUGGCAACCAUAGUAGAUCACGAGCACUCAUUUGUUAGAAUUCUCUUUGAGGCACCUCAAAUUUCUUUUGGUUCAAAGUGGAUUGUUAAGCUGCCCAUAUGGCUAAUAACAUUGCAAUAAAAUGUAACUAAAUCCCAUUGUAGUGUGCCAUUCCAACCAAGUGAAACUUAUCAAUUAACUUUUGUGUCACAUUUUAAUGAGAAAAAUAUAAAUGCUGUAAUGCAUCAAGGAAAAACGUUAAAUAUUUAAGUGCAAUGCAGCAUAAAGUGAAAAUAUCAAAACUUUUGAAAAACAGCAAUACAGGCACUUUACAGCAUACAGCAUAGACUUGUUAACAUUAGAAUUAUCAGUAACUUCAAUCCAGUCUUAAAAUGAUGCAUAACAAAAAUUUUUGCAUUUAAAACAAUCAUUGAGAUUGAGUGCUAAUUAAGCUGACUAGUAACAAAAAAUUCACGCAUCUGUGCACUGAAAAGAAUUUGUGCACAUGUAUAUGUGCAUUACAUACACAUAUAAUACCUAGGAAUCAUCAGUAUCAGGUAUUUAAGUAUUAUAAUAUCUAAGAACCCAAUUUAAGGGCAUAAAUGAGAUCAACCAAAAUACUCACUUCCUUAAGAAUUG